GAUGAACGCUAGCGGCAGGCCUAACACAUGCAAGUCGAGGGGUAACUAGAGUGAUAGCAAUAUUACUUUGGCUAGACCGGCGCACGGGUGCGUAACACGUAUGCAACCUACCAUAUACUGGGGAAUAACUUCGAGAAAUCGGCGCUAAUACCCCAUAACAUUGCGAAGAGGCAUCUCUUUGCAAUUAAAGCUCCGGCGGUAUAAGAUGGGCAUGCGUCCAAUUAGCUUGUUGGUGAGGUAACGGCUCACCAAGGCUACGAUUGGUAGGGGUUCUGAGAGGAUGAUCCCCCACACUGGUACUGAGACACGGACCAGACUCCUACGGGAGGCAGCAGUGAGGAAUAUUGCGCAAUGGACGAAAGUCUGACGCAGCCAUGCCGCGUGCAGGAUGACGGCCCUAUGGGUUGUAAACUGCUUUUGUACGGGAAUAAACCCUUCUACGUGUAGGAGGCUGAGGUACCGUAAGAAUAAGCACCGGCUAACUCCGUGCCAGCCGCCGCCGUAAUAC
rnacentral:rRNA from 1 species